UCUGUUUUUAAAAAAGAACAUUUUUGAGGGUAACUGUUCAGGUAUUGACGGUAUUUAACCAGAAAGCCACGGCUAAUUACGUGCCAGCAGCCGCGGUAAUACGUAGGUGGCAAGCGUUGUCCGGAUUUAUUGGGCGUAAAGCGAGCGCAGGCGGUUUUUUAAGUCUGAUGUGAAAGCCUUCGGCUCAACCGAAGAAGUGCAUCGGAAACUGGGAAACUUGAGUGCAGAAGAGGACAGUGGAACUCCAUGUGUAGCGGUGAAAUGCGUAGAUAUAUGGAAGAACACCAGUGGCGAAGGCGGCUGUCUGGUCUGUAACUGACGCUGAGGCUCGAAAGUAUGGGUAGCAAACAGGAUUAGAUACCCUGGUAGUCCAUACCGUAAACGAUGAAUGCUAAGUGUUGGAGGGUUUCCGCCCUUCAGUGCUGCAGCUAACGCAUUAAGCAUUCCGCCUGGGGAGUACGGCCGCAAGGCUGAAACUCAAAGGAAUUGACGGGGGCCCGCACAAGCGGUGGAGCAUGUGGUUUAAUUCGAAGCUACGCGAAGAACCUUACCAGGUCUUGACAUACUAUGCAAAUCUAAGAGAUUAGACGUUCCCUUCGGGGACAUGGAUACAGGUGGUGCAUGGUUGUCGUCAGCUCGUGUCGUGAGAUGUUGGGUUAAGUCCCGCAACGAGCGCAACCCUUAUUAUCAGUUGCCAGCAUUAAGUUGGGCACUCUGGUGAGACUGCCGGUGACAAACCGGAGGAAGGUGGGGAUGACGUCAAAUCAUCAUGCCCCUUAUGACCUGGGCUACACACGUGCUACAAUGGAUGGUACAACGAGUUGCGAACUCGCGAGAGUAAGCUAAUCUCUUAAAGCCAUUCUCAGUUCGGAUUGUAGGCUGCAACUCGCCUACAUGAAGUCGGAAUCGCUAGUAAUCGCGGAUCAGCAUGCCGCGGUGAAUACGUUCCCGGGCCUUGUACACACCGCCCGUCACACCAUGAGAGUUUGUAACACCCAAAGUCGGUGGGGUAACCUUUAGGAACCAGCCGCCUAAGUGGACAGAGAUGGA
rnacentral:rRNA from 1 species